UUUUUGUUUUUUUUUGUUUUUUAUUUUUUAUUUCAAUAACAAAUUUCUACGAGUUUUCCAAAGUUAUAUAAUCCAAAUCGUCCCCCUCCAUUCUUCUCUACCCUCUCUCAGAGCUGGCAAGCAAUUCAGUCUGGGUUAUACGUAUAUUAUCACACAAAACAUGGUUCCAUAUUAUUGAUUUUGUAAGUGAACAACCUUAUAAAACCAAAAUCCUAAAACAUAUACCCAAAAACCAAGUAAUAAAUCAGAUGCUUCCAUCCGCAUUCUUACUUCAACAGUUUUUUCUCUGAAGAUGGAUAGCAUUCUUUUUCAAAAGUCCUUAGAAUUGUUCUGUAUCAUUGUACUGCUGAGAGUAGCUAAGUCUAUCACAGGUGGUCAUUCCAUAAUAUUACUAUUACUGGGUAUGAUGUUUUCCUGGUUCUGCUUAUUUCACUCUGCAUCAGUUCAUGGAGGUCUUUCCAGCUCUUUCUAAAAUUAUCCUGUUCAUCAUUCCUUAUAGCACAAUAGUAUUCCAUCACCAUCAUCACCCACAUCAUUAAAUGUCUUUUGAAGAGACUUCAACUGUCAAACUUCUUUCCUAGUCUCACAUCAAGUCAAAUGUCAUAGGGCAAAAUCUUCAGCCUACCGAACCUUUCCAAUUCCUCAGCCUCCAAAACUAACCAAUUUCACCUCUUAUCUCAUAGUAAAGAAGGUCCAGGGGUCUGAUUUGGUCUAAAAUUCCAUUCUCAUUUGCUUACCCAAAAUAUAAAUAUUCCCCCAAAGUUAAGGCCCUCCAUAAUCUUUGUUACUGAAUUAAUUUAUUCUUAUUGGUUCAACUGUCACCUCUUCAUAGAUUGAAACAUGUUUAUCUAUCCAGCUCUAAUUUCUCACCAGAAAAAAAGCCAUUUCAAUCAUGAUGUAUUAAAAGAUGUACUAAAUCAUUUUGUAUCAUUUUGUAUCUAUCCAGCUCUAAUUUCUCACCAGAAAAAAAAGCCAUUUCAAUCAUGAUGUAUUAAAAGAUGUAUUAAAUCAUUUUGUAUUAUUUUGUAUCUAUCCAGCUCUAAUUUCUCACCAGAAAAAAAAGCCAUUUCAAUCAUGAUGUAUUAAAUGAUGUAUUAAAUCAUUUUGUAUCAUUUUGUAUCAAUCCAGCUCUAAUUUCUCACCAGAAAAAAAGUCAUUUCAAUCAUGAUGUAUUAAAAAAACAUCUAAAAAUAACAUGUCCAGAAUGAAGCUCUGUUAUAUUUUCCCUCAAACCUAUCCUCAUUAUUUAAAAAAAUUUUUUAAACCCUUUCCUUCAUUAUUUUUUUUAAUUUUUUAAAACCCUUUCCUUCCUGCUUAGAAUCAAUACUGUGUCUUGGUUCCAAGGCAGGAGAGUGGUAAGGGCUAGGCAAUGGGGUUUAAGUGACUUGCCCAGGGUCACACAGCUGGGAAGUGUCUAAGGCCAGAUUUGAACCAGAACCUCCCAUCUCUAGACCUGGCUUUCAAUCCACUGAGCUACCCAGCUAACCCCCUCCUUCUUCUAAUUCUAAACUUUCUCUUUUCUUUUAUGAGCAUGACAAUCCUUCUAAACUCCCAGGUUCAUAAAUCUUGGAGGAAUUCUUGCCUCUUCUCUCUCCCUCAACUUCCAUGUACUACUUGUCUCCUUAUUCAGUCUAUCUUUACAUCUAUUACAUCAAUCUCAAUCUCUUCACCUUCUAGCGGUCACUAUGCUAAUUCAUACUUUUCUCAUUUCUCCACUACAUUACUUUAAUAGCCUCCUAAUUGGUCCGACUACCUCUUAUUUCUCCCCCCUCCAAUCCAUCCUUCAUGCUGCGACCAAAUUGAUAUUCUUAACUCACAGCUCUAACCAUUUUCCCCUUACUCAAAAAUGUUCAAUAGCUCUCCGUUGUCUCUAGGAUAAAAUAUUAAAUCCUCAGCCUAUUAUUUAAAUCCUUCCAUAUUCUGUAUUCCACUUCCCUUUCCAAUCACUUCAUAUGUCUCUCUCAUAUAUUCUCCAUCCUUGUUACUCAUGCCCAGUUUCCCAUCCUUCAUCUUCUGUCUCCAUGACAUUGAACCAGUAAGUAGUCCCCGUAUCUGGAAUGCACCUGCAUCUUUCUCGAGAUUAAAUAGUCGUUUCUAAUAGAGUAGAAAGUUGAAAUCAAGAGAAGUUAAGUGAAUUGCCUACGGUCACACAGCUAGUAAAUGGGGCAGGGAGAGAAGAGAAUUUAAACUGGUUUCCUGUGACUCCAACUAUAGCUCUUUCCAUUGAACCUCAACUUUUCCUUUUGCACACGGGUCAUAUCAUUCUUCUGCUGAAAAAUCUUCAGUAACUCCCCAUUGCCUAAAAUUAAAAUUAUUUUCCCCAACAUUCAAGGCUCUCUGUCAUUCCAGGCAUACUUUACUCCUCCAUAAACUCUCCAGUUCAAACUGUACUGUUCUACCGACAAAAGCUUGCCCUGAACUUUACUUUCUCCAUGCCUUUGUUCUCCCUAUUCCCUAAGGCUGUAAUAAUAUCCUCUGUCCAGCUUCCUCUUCGAAUGUAGAAUUCGUACCCAUUCCUUAAAAUGACUCAAUUCCUAUAGAAUGAGGGUUUUUAGAGCUUGUUUUUCAUUUUUGUCUUUGUCCUAGAACACUGCCUUGCCCUCAGCCUUUUAAUAAAUUUUCAUAGACUAGAAUUGAGAUGUUACGUCUCUUCCAGGAUACCUUUCCUGAUCUGCCUCCCCUAAAAAUUUGGUCCCCUCAGAACACCCGGAACACCUUGCUUUGCGUCUUUCUAACGUGUUUAUUAUGUAUUAUCAAGCUUGUAUUAAUGCUGCGUGUGUGUGUUCUCUUUAAGGGUCCUAUAAGCUCCAUGAGAGCAGGGAUGGCUUGCCUUAAACUUUGAGGGUCCCCGUCUCCAUCAUUUGUUAAAUUUAAUGAGAAUUUGUUAGGUGUUUUCUUUUGAAGCUACUGAAACCUUUCCAUCCAUCCUAACCCCCCCCCCCACACACACACACUAUCUAUUCCGAUGCUCCCCGUUAUCUUCUCCUACACCCCAGUAUCGGCACCGAUGCCCCCAUUAACUACCGCUGUACCCCAUCAUCUGCACCAGUGCCCCUCCGUUCCCUAACCCAGCAUUUGCAUUGAUGCCCCCAUUAUCUACCUCGGUACCCCAAGAUCUGCGCCGAUGCCCCCCAUUAUCUACCCCUACACUCCACCAUCUGCACGUUCUCUACUCAGACCCCCUCUCUUCGCCUACACAGUCCGCUCUCUAACCAGACUAAGCACAGAGCACCGUUAGGCCCGGGCAAUGACAAAGACGAGCCCUGGACAGACAAAGAGGCGUUGAAAGGCAAGGAAAGCCGAAUCUCUCCAGUCCUCGAGUUCGGUCGAGCCGCCUUUGAGCUAUCCCCGGCGCGGGGUCCGGGCUGCGCUGGCUCCGAGGCAGGGGAUUUCCGCGAUGUAGGCGAUCCUAAGGCUUAGACGGGAGGCAAGGACUGCCAGACACCGCCCUUCUUCAGCUGGGACCGCUAGCUUCCCUCCUGACGCAGUAGCUAAGAGGGGGCUGAGGAGAUUUAUUUAAAUGAGGGGCGCUCCUGGGCCCGAAGGAAGGCAAAAAUGAGAAUGGCGCACAAAAGGGACGUGCUCCAGGUGAGGCUCGAACUCACAACCUCGGCAUCGCUCUGCCCGUACUGCUGUAUAAGUACCGCGCGCUAACCGAUUGCGCCACUGGAGCUCCGGCGAAGGAGCCUCAGGAUUGCCCUAUCAGGGUUCGCGAUGGCCUCGUGAUGAGGUAGGGACGAUUCUGAGGACUGCACGGAGCAUGCGCUGACUGCCCUCAACUCUAGGGCCAACUCCAAGCCCGCUACUGUCUAUAAGCGGCGCCCGGAGCCGCAGCCCAACGCCUCUAGGGUCUGGAUUGGGCCAUGAGGUCCUGUACUCAGUCAGCCCCGGGAUCACGGCGGUGUUUGCCUAAGGGAGACGGGAAGUAGAGAAGGGGGAGACCGUUAGUUCGGAUUUGGGGCCUCAGCCUAGGGCACCGUCCUUUUCCCCACGGGCUGGCCUGGUUCUGGCCCCCGCUAUCCUCUCCCCGCGUGUGAGACUCGGCGCGUGAGUUUUCCCGUGGCACUUUCCGCCUGCCCGAGGCCACAAAGAAACAGAGCUCGGGGGCCGGAACUACAAGCGAUGGAAGUGGGACUGAGGAGGGUCCGGGACUGGGCCGACCCGGGGAGAAACCGAAAGGGCAGCAACAAAGAGAAGAGCUUGGUACUGUGCCUGACACAUAGUAGACUAGAAGAAGGAUCCAGCAGAUCAUCAAUUGUCAAGAAUUAUAUUUAACAAAAAAAAAUUUCCCAUCUCUAUAUAAAUACACUGUCAAUACAAAUAAUUACAAUGAAAUAUUAAAAUUUUACUUUGAAAUAAACAUGUUCAUAUUCUA